UGGUAGACGAAAUGUUGAACUGGCUUACA
rnacentral:piRNA from 1 species